rnacentral:lncRNA from 1 species
AACCUUGCUAUAUUUCCACGUCUUAAUAUAAUCAGCACAUUGGUCCCUAGCAUGAACUUUUAUUAACAAGAUAUAAUUUCUUGUUAAAGAUGAGCAGACGGGUGACACCCGAAUCGUUAGUGUGCUACCACAUUUGGAUUCCAUCACCCCCGAGCAGCAACAUCCGAGGACCAGCGAGGCCCACGCAGUGGUCACCGUCGUCUGGACUUUGUGUUCAAACUUUCAAACUUUAAUAUUUCCAAAACUCAAACUAAAACAAUUGAUGCAUCUUGUAAUAGGAGAGACACACACAAUCCAUCUUCGCCUCUCAUAGAAAAUUUUCAUUCACUCCAACCACCUCCUUUGGUCCCCCGGAGGACCAAGACUUUGAGUCUUUCUUUCACGUUGGUGUUGUCUUGUGUCCUUCAUGGUGUUGCCCCGCUGAACCUACUCGCUGUGCUAGCGAUGCUCAUCGUGAAGAUUGUGUAUGAGCCAAUGUUGGCUCAUAUUUUUGUUGAAUCGGCGCACCUUGACCACCCCAUCUAUGGGGAUUGGCGUCCAACUCUCCAUGGGACCGUCAUGGAGAACCAGAAACCAUGGAAGGACACUACUUUAAGUGCCCUCAGCCUUGACUUGGUGUUUCAUGACACCCGGUGGCGGAUCCAGGAUUGGCUGACGCCCCAGGCGAGAAACUAAGGCUAAACACUACCUGAAAAAACUCCAGUUUCAAGGCAUACAAAAGUCAAAAUAUGUUGCAUGUUGCAUAACUACCAAGAAACCAAGCAUAUAAUAUUCAAUGGCAGCAUUUGUUCCAUGAUGGGACAACUAGUAAAGCAAGACAAAUCAAAAGACAAUAUGUAGCAUAUAUAGAUGAUACAAAGGAUUGAUAUCAAAUCAAAGAAUUGGUUGAUCUGAGCCUCCCAUGACUCAUCUUCAAUAGCAGAAGAAGCUAAACCUUCAAUCAUAAAUUUCGAAAUGCAAAUCAGUGCGUAUUAUAGCAGGUAAAACUAGUUAAUAACAGAUGCAAAAUGUGAAAACUUAUGUCUAGGACGAGGCAAAAGGCCUUUGCGUGUGCGAUAACCUUGAAAUCGUUCAAUGGUCUUUGAUUCUUCAAUACUAACAAAUACAUCUCAUUCAAUGUAACAUACCAUUUUGUUAUGCAUCCACUCAUCGCCCAUUUUGUUUCUCAAUCCAGUCUUGAUAAUGCUCAUUGUUUAGAAUGCCCUUUCCACCGCUGCAGUUGCAACAGGUAAAAUCAAUGCUAACUCAACAAGACAAUAGGGAUACUAUCAGUUGUUUGAGUUGAAGGACCCGUUUCCGUAGUUUCGGUGGUUCAAACUUAUAAAAAAGUAUUAAUGUCUUGUUUCUUUUACUCAUCUUGCCUUCCUGUAAAAUUUUAGAGAAAUAAAAAUUACUCAAUGUCUAAAUCGGUUUUUACAUCUAACAAACAGUGGCAUCUAACAACUAAAAUCAUCAUCAACUAGUGACAAUGUGGCAUCUAGAAACAAAAAUAGGGCAUCUUGAAAUAAAAACAACACUGAGGAAGUGAGGAGUGAGGUGAGGACCACCUCGCCGGACGCCGGCCAACCUGUAGGCUGCAGCCUCACGCGGUCGCGCCCUAGCCGGGGUCGCCGCCUCGCUCCCUCGCCGGCGGACAGGGGCGCUGGAAUUGGGGAACUGGG